ensembl:rRNA 5S_rRNA 5S ribosomal RNA
GCUUACAGCCAUACCAGCCCAAGAACGCCCGGUCUCGUCUGAUCUCGGAAGCUAAGAAGGCUUGGGCCUGGUUAGUACUUGGAUGGAAGACCUCCUGGGCAAUACCAGGUGCUGUAAGCU